GAGUUGACAGAGCAGCAGGCUCGGCAACUACACUUUGAUCUCGAGUCCUCUUACAAUUCUUUUAUGGCGGUUUUGCCUAGUGCUGGUACUUGAAUGAUUUUUGUGGGCUUGUAAAUAAAUGGGCAAAGUCGUUGGUUUGGGUUAUUCAAUGAUCAAAAUCUUAUGUUGUUCAAUAGUCUUGUUUGCUGCAACAAUGUCUAAGAUUAAAAUCUUGUAACAAAACAAGUUGUUCGAAUGCCUCUUUACAUUGCAGCAACAUAUCAUAACAAAUAAACUCAUUUAGAAGAAUUUACUAAAUGAGUUUAUUUGUUAUGAUAUGUUGCUGCAAUGUAAAGAGGCAUUCGAACAACUUGUUUUGUUACAAGAUUUUAGUCUUAGACAUUGUUGCAGCAAACAAGACUAUUGAACAACAUAAGAUUUUGAUCAUUGAAUAACCCAAACCAACGACUUUGCCCAUUUAUUUACAAGCCCACAAAAAUCAUUCAAGUACCAGCACUAGGCAAAACCGCCAUAAAAGAAUUGUAAGAGGACUCGAGAUCAAAGUGUAGUUGCCGAGCCUGCUGCUCUGUCAACUCAUCUGCUGCCCCCAUCUUAGAAAGCCUAAAAAUCCAAUCUUUCAUCUUUGUCUUCCCCUCAAAGUCUGGUGGCAAAAUGCUCAACUUAUUAAGUGAAGCUGAUAGGUCUGAAAGCAAUGGGUGCACCUGAUCCACUGCCACCAUAUUCAGUUUUAGGGAAUCCAUAGCUGUAAUAAAGUUCUGGACACACUCAGCCACAAUGGCAGCUGAGGUAGUUGCUGAGGCAGCUGCAGCAGCUCGAUGUUCCACUGUGGCAGGCACCCCAGAGGU
rnacentral:misc_RNA from 1 species